rnacentral:rRNA from 1 species
GUGCUCCCCCGCCAAUUCCUGAUUUUCAAUUCCUGGUUCUUCACGUCGUGAUCGCGCUCCUGCUCGCCACGACAGCCGGGCGGGCGCAAGUACCCAAUCUGAACGCGGACGUCACGCCGCUCGUCGGCAGCGACGGGGCUCCCGCGGGCGGCACCGUCCGGACCGCGCUGCAGAUUCGCCUGGCCGACGGCCUCCAUACCAACUCCAACAAGCCGCGGGAUCCGUUGCUCAUCCCGAUGGUGCUGUCGGUCGAGCCACCGCCGGGCGUGUCGGUCGCGGAGAUUGUGUAUCCGCCGCCCACCGAUCUGAAACAGGAGUUCGCGGAACAGCCCCUCAGCGUCUUCGAGCGCGAAUUCGCCGUGGGCGUCAGCAUGAAUGUCGGUCGAGAGGUGGGGCUCGGCAGCAUCGAGAUCCCGGCGCGGCUGCGCUACCAGGCUUGUGACGAAAAGAUGUGCUACAAGCCGGUGACCGUCGAGACCAGCUGGACGUUCCGUGUUGUGGCAGCCGGCACGCCGGUGAAACCGCUCCACGGCGAAACGUUCGGCCGGAUCGCAUUCGGCCACGGCGAAGCUCCGGCAGGAUCAACCGGAG